CACAGAUUUCUCUGCAGCAUGAGGGCACUGUGGGAUGAUAGGGGAAGGGGUAGCAUUGACAGUUGAAGACUGUCUUUCUUUCCCUCUCCAGUGCCUCUUUGAAAAAUAUGAAGUCAAAACCAGAAUCAACUUGUCAAUUCAUGGAAGAAACAGUUUGCUGAGAUUAUGACUAGAAUUGCGCUAAGUCUUCGGAUCAAUUUGGGAAACUGCAAGGAAGAAAAGACAUUCCCAGGCUGCGAUUUAAUCAAGGAAUGCACAAUAUUUUCUGAGUUAGAUUUCAGAAUUUCCAGUGACCCCUUUCUGGUUUCCAUUUCCCCAUUUUUGAACAAACAUUUCUGUAACAGGUAUGCAUUUCCUUCUACGUCGUAUGUAGGAUAGAGGCAGUAAAUUUGACUUUAUAAUUUCACAGAUCUAAAGAUGGAGGGAAUGUACUCAAGAAAUUUCAACAAAGCAUCCUCAGCAAGCUUGACCCCUGUGCUUCAUGCCUUUCCCAUUGACAAAAUACAUCCACCUCCCAAGGCGUUCAAGAGUCCCAUCCUAUUAUAGCAUCAUCUCAAAGCUGCAUGGAUUUUUCAGUGUCUUUGAAUUAUAUAAACGGGAUUAGACUUUAAUUUUAAUUUCUCAUAACAAUAUUGAAUCUAAGGUUGUAACUCUUCAAAAAGGUGUGUGAAGUUUAUAUGGCCAUUAGGAUGGCUUGGUUUUAGCUUGUUUAUCCCAACCUCUUCAGCACUCAAUAAUAUAGUGGCUCUCCACCCCUAAUUUGAAAAAUGUAUAUUGAAAGAACUUGUUAAUCAUACUUCGAU
rnacentral:lncRNA from 10 species